rnacentral:misc_RNA from 1 species
CAACACUCAAGCUCUGCUUGGUAUUGGGCCCUGUCCGUCUGGACCGGCCUUAAAAUCAGUGGCGGUGCCAUCGGGCUCUAAGCGUAGUAAUACUCCUCGCUACAGGGUUCCUUUGCGUGCUGGCCAGCAACCCCCAACUUUCUAA